GUCCACGCCGUAAACGAUGGAUACUAGCUGUUUGGUAGCAAUACUGAGUGGCUAAGCGAAAGUGAUAAGUAUCCCACCUGGGGAGUACGGGCGCAAGCCUGAAACUCAAAGGAAUUGACGGGGGCCCGCACAAGCGGUGGAGCAUGUGGUUUAAUUCGAUGAUACGCGAGGAACCUUACCAGGGCUUAAAUGUAGAUUGACAGGUUUGGAAACAGAUUUUUCUCGGACAAUUUACAAGGUGCUGCAUGGUUGUCGU
rnacentral:rRNA from 1 species